UACGUAGGGAGCGAGCGUUGUCCGGAUUUAUUGGGCGUAAAGCGCGCGUAGGCGGUUUGGUAAGCCGGGUGUGAAACCUCCAAGCUCAACUUGGAGCGGCCACUCGGAACUGCCCAUGACUUGAGUCAGGUAGGGGAACACGGAAUUCCAGGUGUAGCGGUGAAAUGCUUAGAUAUCUGGAGGAACACCAGUGGGCGAAAGGCGGUCGUUGCUGGGACCUGUACUGG
rnacentral:rRNA from 1 species